CUGCUCCGACAUCGUGGUGUUCGCCGCCCGCGACGCGUCCAGCAUCCUGAGCAACGGGCACGUCCACUUCGACCCCCCCGCGGGGCGCCUCGACGGCCCCAUCUCCCGCGCCGCCGACGCACAGCGGGACCUCCCGGACUCCACCUUCACAAUCGGCGAGCUGAUCCGCAACUUCCGGCGCAAGAACUUCACGGUGGAGGAGCUGGUGAUCCUCUCCGGCGCGCACGCCAUCGGCGUCGGCCACUGCUCCUCCUUCCGCGGGCGGCUGUCCUCGCCGCCGAGCCAGAUCGUGCCGGCGUACCGGAACCUGCUGUCGGCGAAGUGCGCGGCGGGGCCCGACCCCGUGGUGACGAACAACGUGCGGGACGAGGACCCGAGCGCCGUGGCGGCGGCGUUCCCGUCGUUCCUGAAGAAGCUGAGGAAGAACAAGGACUUCCUGGACAACAGCUACUACCACAACAACCUGGCCCGGAUCGUGACGUUCAACUCGGACUGGCAGCUGCUGACGGAGAAGGAGGCGCUGGGGCACGUCAAGGAGUACGCCGAGAACGGGACGCUCUGGGACGAGGACUUCUCCGAUGCGCUCGUCAAGCUCAGCAAGCUGCCCAUGCCGCCCCACAGCAAGGGGGAGAUCAGGAAGCACUGCCGCUUCCUCAACCACCACUAGCAGCUUCCUUCGUUCCUUGGAUACUACUCCUACGUACUACAUAUACAUUAUCUGCAGGCUACUACAGCUGAAACUGUGAUUACUGUCUCGUUCGCUCUCGCAGAUCGUCGGUCGAUCGAUCGGUUCAUCAUUUGAUUGUUCAUUUUGCUGUUCUCGUCUAUGUGAUUCUUUCUUCUUUCUGGUGUUGGAGAUAAUGUGAUUGAUUUGUUGUAUGAUCUUUGUUUGUAUGGACAAAUUACGAAACAAGAGUGGGCAGGGUGUGUGCAUGAACUGCUGGUUGGACUUUGGACAGGAUCGGAGUCCAAUUUUCAUGUAAUAAGGAUGGUCCAGGGAAGUAAUUAAAGUUUUUUUUUGAGGAUUAUUGGGAAGUUAAAGUAGUUCAAGCUAGUUGUAAGUGAGCGUCAGUUGGCUGAUUGCCUGCCCUCCUCCAUAUGCAUGCCAUGAUGGGUGUACGGAAUAUCUUGGGUCUGGACACCGGAGAUCGCUGUGCGCACGCUCUGAAAG
rnacentral:lncRNA from 1 species